rnacentral:rRNA from 1 species
GAUGAACGCUGGCGGCGUGCCUAACACAUGCAAGUCGAGCGGAAAUUACGGACGGAAGUUUUCGGAUGGAAGCCUGUAAUUCUUAGUGGCGGACGGGUGAGUAACGCGUGGGCAACCUGCCCUAUACAGGGGGAUAGCAGCUGGAAACGGCUGGUAAGACCGCAUAAGUCGGUUAAAUCGCAUGAUUUGAUCGGGAAAUGAGCAAUCAGGUAUAGGAUGGGCCCGCGUCCGAUUAGCCAGUUGGCAGGGUAAAAGCCUACCAAAGCGACGAUCGGUAGCCGGACUGAGAGGUCGGACGGCCACAUUGGGACUGAGACACGGCCCAAACUCCUACGGGAGGCAGCAGUGGGGGAUAUUGCACAAUGGAGGAAACUCUGAUGCAGCGACGCCGCGUGAGUGAAGAAGUAUUUCGGUAUGUAAAGCUCUAUCAGCAGGGAAGAUGAUGACGGUACCUGACUAAGAAGCCCCGGCUAACUACGUG